AAAUCUUUAGUUUAUAGAAAAAAAAAAUUUUAAUUUGUGGAAUUAAAGAAUAAAAUUUAGUUUUAAAGGUUUA
rnacentral:tRNA from 1 species